UUUUAUUUGGAGAUACACCGCGGCCUGCUCAAGCCGAAGAUCUUUAUGAAAUUCUUGAUUCCUUUACUGAAAAGUAUGAAAAUGAAGGACAACGAAUCAAUGCAAGAAAAGCAGCAAGGGAGCAGAGGAAGUCUUCUGCUAAAGAAUUACCUCCAAAGCCAUUGUCAAGACCACAGCAGUCAUCUGCACCAGUCCAGCUGAACUCUGGCUCUCAAAGUAACAGAAAUGAAUAUAAGCUCUAUCCUGGACUUUCCAGCUAUCAUGAGAGACUGUGAAGGCAUUAACCUCUUACCAAGGAUUUCCUCAUGUUUGCUUACCAUCGCUGCAGAGAAAAGUCACAGUUACAUGGCCCCAGGGCCCGAGCCUUAAAUUGAAAACCUGAUGAAGCAGGACACUGAGUCCUCCACGUGCGAGCUCCUGAAUCUGUCUCAGCCCCACGGAGGGGCUGCUGGGUGUGAUGAUCAGCUACAUCACCUGUACUUUCCUCCCACCAUCUUUUGGCUUUGCCCUUUGGAAGGUCCAGCUGUGUAGUUCUUGGGCCUCUGAGAGAGACAAGGCUUGCAAAUGCACAGUCCAAUUUUCUGAUCUUCCCUCUAGGGACUCUGGAAGGAAUGGUUUCAUAAUCAAAAGCUUGGACCCUCCAGCGUCAGCAUUCUUCCCCGUCCUCUUACCCAUCCCAUAGUUGUCUGGGAUGGGGUUUCUCAACCUGGGCACUACACACAAUUUAGGCUGGAUAACACUUUGUUGUAGGGGCUAUCUUGUGCCUCAUAGGGUGCUUAGCAAAGGCUGUGUUCUCCUAGUUGUGACCUUCCCAAGGCUGUGAUUUUUUUCCUGAAACAGUCAGGCCAGGGGUGCUGGCUGCA
rnacentral:lncRNA from 1 species